GAUGGUCUCAAUCUCCUGACCUCAUGAUCUGCCCGCCUCGGCCUCCCAAACUGCUGGGAUUACAGGUGUGAGCCACUGCACCCGGCCUAUCUCUUUUUUUUCUUAGAAGUACAACAGUCCUAUUGGAUUAGGGCCCCAGUCUGUGACCUUAUUUAUUUCCGUAAAGGCCUUAUCUGCAAAUACAGUUGUAUUGGGACUUAGAACAAUAUAUGGAUUUGGGUUAGGGGGGACACAAUUCAGUUCAUUAUAUUCUGCCAUCUGGCCCCCCUCAAAUUUAUGUCUCUUCACUUCAAAAAUACAUUUACCCCAUCUCAACAGUUCUGAACAUCUCAAUUCAUUCCGGCAUCAACUCCAAGUUCAGAGUCUCAUCUAAAUAGCAUCCAACUCAGGUAUAGGGGAGACUUGAGGUAUGAUCCAUCCUGAGGCAUAAUUCCUCCCAGCUGUGAUGGGAUGGUACAGGCACAGGAUAGACAUUACCAUUCCAAAAGGGAGAAACCAGAAGAAAGAGCUUCUAAGCAAGUCCAAAACCUAGCCAGGCAAAUCCCAUUACAUCUUAAGGCUAGAGAAUCAUCCUCUUUGGCUCCACGCUCUGCCCUCCAGGCCCUCUAGGGUAGUGGCUUUGUCCCUGAGGGCUGUGGUCAGAGGCAGCUGGGUUUGCUGUAACUAAUAGAGGUGGCCCUACCCUGUGAAAUCAAGGAGUAGGCAGGCCUGCCCUGUGCUUAUAUACUCUGUCUUGGUGGCAGUGGCAGCACUGGGGGUCUCUAAAUUGCCCUUGGGAUCAUCCUUCCUUUUCUUGAAGGACAAAGAAUGUUUGCAUCCAGGUAGCUCUGCUGUCAGAAGUCCAAAAGCCUUACUUUAUUUUAUUCCAUGUCCAUCCCCUUUAGUGCAAGAUGCCAGUGUCUCUGCUGGUAUAAUCCCAUCUCUUGUCCUUGCUUCUGCUGAGAUGGCUGAUUAAGUCUAGGUAAUCUCUUUAGAGGGGGAGUGUCCAGCCACACCCUUGAUUUUUCUCUCUGUAACACUCUUAUUUUUUGCAAUAUGGAUAGCCUGAGAAUUUUCUGACUCUAGUUCCUGAUUCCUUGUUGCUUAACAAUUUCUUCUUUAAUUCGUCUUUUUCCUUUUGCAUUUUAAAGUAACCAGUAAGGAGAAACCAGGUUGUAUCUUCAACACUUCCCUUACGAAUCUCCUCUGCUAAAUAUCCAAGGUUGUCACUCACAAAGCCACUUCUCCAUUUCUAUGUAGUUGUUACGGUGACCCCUAUCUCAUGAUCCAAAUCUGUAUUUAGGGUUCUCCAGAAAAACAAGCAGUAGGAUUUUUUUUAUAUGUAGGAGAUUUAUUAAAAGGAAUUGGCUCAUGCAAGUAUGGAUUCUGGUGAGUCCAAAAUAUGCAGCGUGGGCCAGCAGCCUGGAAACAUGGGAGAGUUGAUGGUGCAGAUGAAAGCCAAAGGCAGUCUCUUGCUCAGGAAAGUCAGGGUUUUUGUUCUGCCCAGGUUUUUCAGCUAAUUGGAUGGGGCCCAUCCACAUUAUGGAGGGAACUGUGCUUACUGAGAGCUCACCAACUUAAAUGUUAAUCUCCAAAGAUUCAUUCCGGAUUGACACAUAAAAUUAACCAUCACUGGAGGUAAUGAUAAUAGUCUAGAUAAGACAGGCCAGCACCAAUAGAGGUUUAAAAAAAUCUGAGUGAAAAUGGGUAUUACAGACCAGAAAACAUAAUUGGAUGUGGGAGUAAGUGCAAAAUUACAAGCCUUUGGUUUUGCAAAGAUGGUGGUACCAUUUUUCUAAAAUGCCCAGGGCAGAAGACACUGCUCUUACUGAGAAUCAUUGCUCAGAAAGUGAUUCUCCACCUCGGCUACACGUAGAAUCAUCUGGAAGAUUUUAGGAAUCUCUGUGUCCAAGCUAUGCUGCAUACCAGUUAAAUCUAAAUUCUUGGCGUAAGGCCAGGCGUGGUGGCUCAAGUGUAUAAUACCAGCAUUUUAGGAGGCCAAGGCAGGCGGAUCACCUGAGGUGAGGUGAGUUUGAGACCAGCUUGGCCAACAUGGUGAAGCCCCGUCUCUACUGAAAAUACAGACAUUAGCCGGGUGUGGUGGCACAUGGCUGUAAAUCCCAGCUACUUGGGAGGCUGAGGUAGGAGAAUUGCUUGAGCCCAGGAGGUGAAGGUUGCAGUGAGCUGAGAUUGCAUCAUUGCACUCCAGCCUGCUGGGCGACAGAGUGAGACUCCGUCUCAAAAAUAAAUAAAUAAAUGAAACAAAUAAUAAAUACAUUCCGGAUGUGAGACCGGGCAUCAGUAUUUAAAAACCUCUCUAGGUGAUUCCAGAGUGUAACCAGCCUUGAGAACCACUAUUGAAAGAAGCAGAGUCAUGAGAAGCCUUUUAAAAAAAUUCUGCCCAACAAAAUCCUGGAGUACAUCAGCCCAAGUUUCAUUUCUGUGCUGCUUUCUUUUCCUAGCUGGCCUUGGUCGCACGGGCACUCUGAUAGCCUGCUACAUCAUGAAGCAUUACAGGAUGACAGCAGCCGAGACCAUUGCGUGGGUCAGGAUCUGCAGACCUGGCUCGGUGAUUGGGCCUCAGCAGCAGUUUUUGGUGAUGUAAGUAGUAGCCUACGUCUGUAGUUCCCAGGGAACAUGUGGGGUUGGCAUCUGAUGGGGAGUGGAAUUUCCUUUAGUUUCCAAUAACAACAGAUAAUCUGGUAGGAAGAAGUUGUUCAUGUAUCUUUCUGGAAAGCUCUAUUUUGAUGUUAUUUAAAUGCUCUAGGAAGCAAACAAACCUCUGGCUGGAAGGGGACUAUUUUCGUCAGAAGUUAAAGGGGCAGGAGAAUGGACAACACAGAGCAGCCUUCUCCAAACUUCUCUCUGGCGUUGAUGACAUUUCCAUAAAUGGGGUCGAGAAUCAAGAUCAGCAAGAACCCGAACCGUACAGUGAUGAUGACGAAAUCAAUGGAGUGACACAAGGUGAUAGACUUCGGGCCUUGAAAAGCAGAAGACAAUCCAAAACGAACGCUAUUCCUCUCACAUGUCCCCUAGCUGUGCUGACCUCUGCACUGUGUAGUGUUGUCAUCUGGUGGAUUGUUUGUGACUACAUUCUUCCCAUCCUGCUAUUCUGUCUCGAUGGUUUCAGAACACAGUAGCCAUCAGGACCCCCUGACAGAUAGCUGCUGUAAGUGUCCCGUUCUGUUUCUCUGCUGUUGCUUACUUCUGGUGCCUAGUGUGGUUCCCACAAUGCAUGUUUUUCUCCUUGUCAGCUCCUAGCUUUGUUGGUUUGCCUAUUUUCAAAGGUUCUUUUUCUGAAUCUUUUCAAUUAAUGGGAUGGUGGUGGGGAGGGAAGGUGGGCUUCACUGUUCCUCUCAUAGAAAGGAUAUUGAAAGUAACAUACGUUGUUUUAAAGUUAUGCUUAUCCUUAACAUAUUUCAAAAUAGCAGUUGAUAAAGACACUGAAACAGUUUUUCUUCACUGAAACAGUUUUUCUUCCCUAUCAAAAGUAGUUAGCUUAGGAUAAUUGGGGUGGUUUUAUUUUCGUCAGUUGGCUAUACAAUUUCCCUCUAGUUUUCUGUAUCUUGAGUAUGUCCUUCCCAAUCUAGCAAAGAAGCAUUUUUCCCACUGAUCUACUUUCAUUAAAUAUGUGAUUUUGUAGCCUCGAAAUCUGCCAUUGUACAGCAGCUCUCUCAUAAGUCUUCUCUCUUUAGUGUGCAGAAUUUCCUGCUCUGUCUCAUUUUUCUCCUCCCCUUUAGGGAAUACAGUAAGUACAGUGUGUAGCACUUGAUGCUAAAUGAAAGUAGGAGGUCGGAGCUGAGGUCGCCUGUUUAAGUUGGUGCAUUUCCAUAUGAUGGUCAUUGUUCCCGCUUUUCUCCUUGCCCAGACAUAGCCAGAAUGCCUUUAAUAGGCUAAUAGCAGCAAAUUUGUAUUCUCUUGAGAUCUUUCAUCUUUGAAAUGAAGACCUUAACAGCGAAGAGGCUUUAUUUCUGCAGAAGAAUGUACAAGAGGCCCACUUGUGGAACAGCAUGUUGAAGACCCCCAGAAGGCGGGUGUGUCCGUGUCACGGGGUCCACCGCCACCCUUCUGUGUCUGAGCUGCGUUCUUUCUUCUCUGAAGCUUUUUCCUUAACUCAUAUUUUAAGAAUUUCUUCUCUUGUCUCCUCUUGGACUUGGAAGUUAUGAAAGAAUGCAAAAGUUCCUUGCAAGAUCUCUUCCAAAGAAAAAUUCCAUUGCAGCCAACUCUGGUACUUUGUGGUUUCAUUGAGUAUUUUCACAUAGCUGAGAAAGAUUUAAAAAUCAAGCUGAUUUCACUCUUCAGAAUUAGGCAAAACCUGCUUAACUUGCUCCCAUUUAUGGCAUUUUCUUGAAUAUCUUACAAAUAAAAGCUUAUUGUCGCACAUUCAGACCUGCUGUAUUUCUGAGAUAGAUUAACCUUUUGGGUGUUUUCUUCUUUACUUCUCUUAGUCAACUACGAUUGCCACAUAUUCUGACUCAAGAGCAUCAUGCACUACAUAGAGUUAUUCUUCUCAAACUGUUCCAAGUGGCAAAGAUGUUCUGAAUGGGUGGAGCAGUUGCAAAUAAUGCUUAGGCACUUUGUGGUUGAAUGAUCAUUCCCAGGGUAAGUUUAAACAUGGUCUCUAUCAGGCUCUUUUCUUUUCAGUAUUCCAUGUAAACUAUACCUUCUGUUGUUACUGGUAAUGACGUUUGCCAUUGUAUUUCUAGACCCAAGCAGAGUAUUCAGUUCAGCCUGACUAAUUAUUUGGAAUUUUGAGAAGCAAAAAGCUUGUGACAGUUACAGUGGUGUUCAUCAGUAUCAUCUUUGUAGCACCCCCAUGUCUUUCUCUCAAAAGGGUUUUAUUUGUAAGGUGGUGACUCCUGAGCUCCACCAUCCUCUGUCAUCACCACCCACCUCUGCUGGCAGUGGACGCAGGUGGCGUGGCAUCGUCUGAUAAGUUGUUUCCAGUGAAAAGCUCCUGUUAUGCGGCAUGCCUGGAGAAUUAGGCCAUAACAACACUUCAGGCUUCUGAGUCAGACUCAGAGAUAGUGGGAAAGCCUUCUCUGGAGGCUGCAGGGCCUCAGGGUCACCUUUGUGCACGCUCUUGUGGUGUCCGGAGUGGACAGCCAGUAUACAUAGUGCAUAGUUGCCCUGAUGGAUUUUUUUCUUGGAAUUGGACAUUUAUGUUCGAGACCUGGCUUUUUAGUUUUUGGCUUUGCCGUGUUCCUUGGGUUGCAGAUUUCACUAUAUCUGAAAUCUCAGAGUACCGAGGCUCCAAGGAUGCUGCAGAGAAGAAGGUGAACUGGAAUAUAGGCAAGAGGUAGGUAGGAUGGAGGAUUUUGUCAGGGGAGAUGGGAAGGAAGAAAAUACAUCUGCUGCACACUGCUCUGCAAAGCCAUGCUUGGCCUGGGUUGGAAGGCAGAAGGCCGCGAGUGCCCGGGUUCCCUGUGACAGAGGCAACACGUCACCCUCUGGUGCCUGUCAGGUGGUGUGUGCUGUCACUCAUGAUAGCUCAGUGGAGUUCUCCCCCAACCCCGACUUCAUCAGUGCAUAACCUGCAGUUAGGAUAAAUACCGUGUUGUCAGUGCAAAUAACUGGAAUCUUCCGUGGUGUGGUUAAUACACUCAAGUUCUAUCAUUCUCUUGGUUUUAAAGUUCCACAGAAAUUACUAGCUAUUUAAUAUUAUUAUUAUAUUAGUUCACUUUAAUUUACACUAAUUUUAUAGAGAAAUAAAUACUUUUAAAAAGAUGUUUUCCAGCAGCCUGAGAAUGACUGCAGGAUUUAGCAGUAGUGUCUUGUUUUGAAUGGCAUUUAAACACUUCAGUCAUAGUUUUAAUUUGAGAAAUCAGGAUUCAGAUUUCCUAAGCAGGCAGUGUAUCAGCUCUUGUUUUUUUCUCAGAUUAAUUAUUUUGCAGUGUGAUUGUUGUCUGUACUUUUGGCCAACCGUGGCCUGAAAUUAUUUGAGAAUUAG
rnacentral:lncRNA from 1 species